rnacentral:lncRNA from 1 species
UUUCCGUCUCUGUCUAAGUUUUCUCUCUCGCACUCGUUGCAUCCUUUUUUAGCGUUUUCUCUGUCUCUCUCACACUCAUUAAAAAAUUCUUGCCUGUCGUUUUGGGACAUAAACAAAACAAAGUUGAUAUAAAAAAUUAACAUUUAAUUUUAUAGAGUUAAAAAAUGUUAAUACAUAGGCAGACAACAGAUAGAUAUAUAGUUAUAUAAUACACGAAGCACAUCUGCAAAACUUGAGAAUAACGCAGUUGGUUGAAAAUAUAUUUAAACAGUAAUAAUUAAGGAAAAAAAAUCAUUCCUUGGAAUGUUUAUCUCAUGGAUCAUUCUAAUACUUACAAAGGAUUUUGGGCUAUAAUAGAAUGCAAUUUUCGUAGAAGAAAGCAACCGUAUCUUUCAAGGACGAAUGAAGUUACGUAGGAAGUCUGUGGUAGUUUAAUAGAACUUGGGAUCAGUCAAUCAUUGAUUCCGUUUAAGGAUAGAUAUAAAAUUUGAGUCAUUUUCUAUGGACACAAGGAAAAAGGCAAGAUGUUACAUAAUAUCUUCACAAAAUUAACUGAAAUCAUCCCGGAAUUAUUUGUAUUUGCAAAUCGAAUGAUGGACCAUCAAACAGGACUCCAUAAUUAUUGAGGGUUGUCUAAUGAAAUGGUUAAUGGAAUAAGAAACAGUCAAAGGACAAUGAUUGGCUAAUUGUUUAUUGAAACAGCAGAAGAUAUAGUGCAAACAUUGUUGAACAAGUAAUUAAAGGCGCGUUAUAUUAAUACUACAACACCACACACUGCUUCCCCACUCACGCGAGCAUUGCUAGCUCUCUGUGUUGGUUAAUAAAAUUUCCUAAUUCAACAUUAGUGAAUUUCGUUAGCCGAUGCAGUUGGUUAACAGUGUUUUUGUCGGUGUGGAUUCCCGGGCUUAAGAUGACUCCAGAGCGCGGCGCGGCCUUCCCCAAGAGAGGAGACUUCUUGGGUCACCCCCUAACCCUGAUGUUCGGGCAUCGAUGACCUGUGUAGCAUGCAGAGGUACCCAAGGGAGUCACCACCCUCUGGUUUACGAGCUAGGUGUUCUAAUGCUAGAGGCUUCGGCCGGAUACAACCUGGCACCCAAGCUCCGAGAUUUCUUCGUGCACGUAUUCCGUGACCCUCGAAGAGGCAGGGGGCGGGAUAUCGGACACAUUGAAGAUGAUGAGGGGGGUCCGCCUGUAGGGGGUCCCGGUGGAUGUCCGUCCGACGGGUGACGAGGGUGACCCCAGACGAGGCGGCUUAAUUGGGAUGGGAACUGACUGGUGAGGCUUAAUCGUCGACCAACGGGUCGAAUCUGCAUAAGGAAGGCAACCAGCACACACUCGCAGGCGGGUCGUGGAAACAUUUUUUUGUUUUUUCUCUUGGUCUGCCCCGCGUCGAAUUUUGAAGGCAAAAAAUGUCGGGAGGAGGCGAGCAUAACCAGGCCUAACUUAAACCUGUUAAAAGCACCGUCGAAUGCCUGGAAAACGUGUUUAUUGUCAACUCUACAGGAUCGACCGAAAUCCAUGGAGCUGGGGGCAUUCGAUGUGCCCCAUAGCAGUGAGACGCCACUGUUUUUUUCGCCGUAUAAUUAUUAUGGUGGGACUGAAAAUGAACUUAAGCAAGAUGCGAUGGUGAUACGGUAUGGCUUGGAGAACUUCAAAAGUCGGUUCGCGUCGUGGUUCCAAAGCAACUUUAGGUUCUCUACAUUUACAGAAUGUCGCAUUAAGUACUCAUUUUUUAAUUUGCAAUUUUUACAUUCAUUUUUACUUUUUUUCUUACUCUAUACAAGGCUUUAAUAUAACGUUUUUUUAGUAAUAAUAAAUGGGUUAUAAAAAAAUAACUCUAAAGAGACACAAUUAGGUAGCAUAUUGUUUUUCUAUUAUAUUUGGAAAUAACUGAGGUCUUAUUUUAAAAUUGAUAAUAUUGUUUAAUUUUUUUAAUGGUGAUUUUUAAUUAAACGUAAAUAAUGUAAUUUUACAUUAUAAUGAGAAUUAAAGUAUUAGUAAUUUAUUUUUGUUACUAAAAUUAAAAUCAGUUUGUUCCUGCAUAAAUCUUUUUAGUACUAAACCGCUUUGGAAUGAAUUUUUUGAGGGGACAACAGCAGGAUUAGGACCGUCUUCUAGAUGCCAUCAGGUAGGUGCGCUAGCGUAGUCGUUUGUUGUAGCAUAAUAUCCCUUUUCCCCCUUUUUUAAAAAUGUUUGUAAGACGCCUGAAAUUUGUAUAAGUUAGUUAUAUAAGUAGUUGAAUAAGAAUUGGUGAGAGUUGGAAAAUAGAAGAGGACAAAGAAGAUGGAAGAGGAUUGCUUUGAAAUAGAAGGAAAGAGAUAGAAAAUUUUUGAGGAAAGGAGGAGGAUUUUGUUCGCUGUAAUGGAAGUUUUUUGAAUGAAAUUUGGUGCAACUGUAUUAAGAUGUUAUUGAUAUCUUGGACAUCAAGUUUCAUUUAUUUGCGUAUUAUACAAGCCUAUCUAUUGGUGGAAAUGUAAAAUGGCAGCUGGUAUAACACCUUGUAUGAAUUAUUAGUAACUCCAAAGAAGUUUUUACAUAAUUUAAACUGGGAAGAAGCUCAUAAAAGACCAGUUUAGGCUGCAGUAGUACCAGGACCUUAAAUUGGCUUCCACAACACAGAUAUCUUUCAAAAAUGAUAUCUGUUCGAGUGAUGUACUGGGCGUUAACAGUUGCUGUUACAAAUCUGCAAAUGAGUUACUACUGUGCAUACGUUUGAGGAAUGUCAAGAAAUGUUUUGAAUGAAACCAUUAUGAAUGAUUACCAUUAUGCUAUAAAAAUGCUGUUUCCAGUCCAAGUUCCAGUUUUAAUGGAAAAUCUUUAAUGGACACAGGAAAAUGCCAUUUACUGGAUUGACUUCAAUACCUGGUGCCUUUUAAUAAUGGUAUACAACGGUACAAUUGCUGUUAGAAGUUAACAAGUAGUACUAGUUGCAGAUAAUAUAUUAUGGUGGAGAUCAAAAAGCUUUAAACGGAAUGAAACUUGCAGGAAAAGUAAAGGAAAACCAUUUUAGACUGUAUACGUAAUAGUUGUUAGAGUGGAUGCAGUCCUUCA